GGGUCCGCACAAGCGGUGGAGCAUGUGGUUUAAUUCGAUGAUACGCGAGGAACCUUACCUAGGCUAUAAUGUGAGUGAUCGGUGCUGAAAGGCACUUUUCCUUCGGGACACGAAACAAGGUGCUGCAUGGUUGUCGUCAGCUCGUGCCGUGAGGUGUUGGGUUAAGUCCCGCAACGAGCGCAACCCCCAUUUCUAGUUGCCAGCGGUUCGGCCGGGGACUCUAGAGAAACUGCCAGCGUAAGCUGUGAGGAAGGUGGGGAUGACGUCAAAUCAUCACGGCCCUUACAUCCUGGGCCACACACGUGCUACAAUGGUGGGGACAACAGGUUGCCAACCCGCGAGGGUGAGCCAAUCCCAAAACCCCAUCUCAGUUCGGAUCGGAGUCUGCAACUCGACUCCGUG
rnacentral:rRNA from 1 species